AGAGUUUGAUCAUGGCUCAGAACGUACGCUGGCGGCACGCCUAACACAUGCAAGUCGAACGAAGUAGCAAUACUUAGUGGCAGACGGGUGAGUAACAUGUAGGUAUCUGCCCUUUGGCCUGGAAUAACACGAGGAAACUUGUGCUAAUACCGGAUAAGUCUUUACGGAGAAAGCUUUAUGCACCAUUGGAUGAGCCUGCACUUGAUUAGUUUGUUGGUGGGGUAAUGGCCUACCAAGACUGUGAUCAAUAGCUGAUUUGAGAGGAUGAUCAGCCACAUUGGGACUGAGACACGGCCCAAACUCCUACGGGAGGCAGCAGUGGGGAAUCUUGCACAAUGGAGGAAACUCUGAUGCAGCGAUGCCGCGUGAGUGAAGAAGGCCUUUGGGUUGUAAAGCUCUUUCGUCGGGGAAGAAAAUGACUGUACCCGAAUAAGAAGGUCCGGCUAACUUCGUGCCAGCAGCCGCGGUAAUACGAAGGGACCUAGCGUAGUUCGGAAUUACUGGGCUUAAAGAGUUCGUAGGUGGUUGAAAAAGUUGGUGGUGAAAUCCCAGAGCUUAACUCUGGAACUGCCAUCAAAACUUUUCAGCUAGAGUAUGAUAGAGGAAAGCAGAAUUUCUAGUGUAGAGGUGAAAUUCGUAGAUAUUAGAAAGAAUACCAAUUGCGAAGGCAGCUUUCUGGAUCAUUACUGACACUGAGGAACGAAAGCAUGGGUAGCGAAGAGGAUUAGAUACCCUCGUAGUCCAUGCCGUAAACGAUGUGUGUUAGACGUUGGAAAUUUAUUUUCAGUGUCGCAGCGAAAGCGAUAAACACACCGCCUGGGGAGUACGACCGCAAGGUUAAAACUCAAAUGAAUUGACGGGGACCCGCACAAGUAGUGGAGCAUGUGGUUUAAUUCGAAGAUACGCGCAGAACCUUACCAACACUUGACAUGUUCGUCGCGACUUUAAGAGAUUAAAGUUUUCGGUUCGGCCGGACGAAACACAGGUGCUGCAUGGCUGUCGUCAGCUCGUGUCGUGAGAUGUUGGGUUAAGUCCCGCAACGAGCGCAACCCUCACUUUUAGUUGCCAUCAUUAAGUUGGGCACUCUGAAAGAACUGCCAGUGAUAAGCUGGAGGAAGGUGGGGAUGACGUCAAGUCCUCAUGGCCCUUACGUGUUGGGCUACACACGUGCUACAAUGGUAUCUACAACAGGAAGCAAAACGGCGACGUUAAGCAAAUCCUCAAAAGAUACCUCAGUUCGGAUUGCACUCUGCAACUCGAGUGCAUGAAGCUGGAAUUACUAGUAAUCGUGGAUCAGCGUGCCACGGUGAAUGCGUUCCCGGGUCUUGUACACACCGCCCGUCACACCAUGGGAGUUGGUUCUACCUUAAGGCAAGGUUUAAAACCCUUGACCACGGUAUAAUCAGCGACUGGGGUGAAGUCGUAACAAGGUAACCGUA
rnacentral:rRNA from 1 species